ensembl:lncRNA
AUUCUUUUAAUUUAAUUUCUUUUCUUUUCCGUUGAGAGGUUCAUGUUCUGAGUUAAGUUUUGUAAUGCCGUGUCCCCGAGUCCGACCUCGAGUGCGUGCCUAAAACUACAACCAGCCCACAACUCUGCAUUUUCAGACAACUCCCAACCAUGGGCUUCCCAAGACAUCACUUCAACGGUUACUGAACUUCCAGCCAAUUAGCAACCUUGGGAAAACCCCUUUUCUUUGACAACAAAGGGAACCCCCUUUACACAGGCAAUAACAGAGUGAAGGCGUUGGAUAGGCGUGACAAAGCUGAAUGUCUUUUCGUCAGAAUCUCAGCCUAUAGUUGGAAUUAGUUUUAUAGAACACAAAAGAAGAUAUUUUGAAGAACAAUGGAGAUACACAGUUCAUAA